ACACACACACACACACACACACACACACACACACACACACAGAGAAAUAUAGCAUAUACGAACACACAUCUCCACAACACAUAUGCCAUGACACACUGACAUGUCAUGACACACUUACAUAAAGACCAACUUACACACACACACACUUGUAAACACAUCAACCCCGUACAGCUGAGGUGAACCCACGUCUGCUGAGUCAUAAAGUGUUGCUUGUUGGUUGGGGGGCACCCCGGUGAUCCAUUCAGAGCCUUUUCUGCCUUACUUACAGUGUCAACUGACAUUCCCCAUUACCUCAGUGUUAUGCAACUUGACUUCCAGACCGCAAAAUUCAGGGACGCCCAUUCAGAGUAGCAAUCAACAAAUCAGAGGGCUCCUGUUGGUAUGAAGUGAUAGAUAUCCUGCGAUUAAAAACAUAACUGGUUUGUGAGCUGUAUCCCAAACCUUUUAGUGCACAUACAGGAUGAUUUAGGAGUAAUCUCUAAAGGACUUGGCCACUCUCCACACUCUUGGACUUUUCUAUAAGAAAAGCACUGGACAAAUGGUUUCAUCCCAGUAAUACAAGACACUGCAAAUUUAUCUGCCAUACUUGUAUUGUGAAGCUUGUUUACCCUGUUUUUUGUACAAUAAAACCACUCCUGUAUAUAUGCUGUAGUGAUUGACAUUGAGGACAUCAUUUGGAUUAAUCUGCUGCCUGUGUGUGUGUGUGAGAGAGUGAGAGAAAUCCCCCAAAAAUGUAACAGUGUUCAGUGAAGAUCAUGAUACCGAUGUCUGUUAUCUUGCAGAGUAAUCUGGUGAAUAGUACUGUUGCUGUUCAUAAUCUUGCUGGUUUUACUGUUGAUGAUUGUACUGCUGCUGUUGGUAAUCUUGCUGAUUGUACUGCUGCUGUUGGUAAUCUUGUUGAUUGUACUGCUGCUGUUGGUAAUCUUGCUGAUUGUACUGCUGCUGUUGGUAAUCUUGGUCAUCAUAAUCUGGAUUGCCAUCCUGGUACACAGUCUCAGUCUGAGGGUCCACCUCCAUGGAGCCAAUCAGGUUUGUGGAAUCCUUCUGCCUCAUUUUACGACCAAUGUUUUGGUAUAUGA
rnacentral:lncRNA from 1 species